GGCUGAUUAGGAUGCAACAUUCUGUCAUUCUACUGAUCGCCAGGCUGGAAUCGGCUUAUCUGCCUGGCUAGGCGGGUGUCCCCUUCCAUGUGUGUCUCUCCCAAAGCUGCACACUCAGUUCAAGAGGACAGCCUUCCCUGAAUAGACGGAAGGGUUGUUCUUCUGUCAAGGGUAUCUGAGUAGCUGCAAUCCCCUGCUUGAGCACUCAAGGUCCAAGUGGGCUGGGAAGAAAGGAAGGAAGAAAGAAAGAGUGGUCCGGGAGGUGGCGCAGUGAUAAAGCUUUAGACUCUUUAGACUCUCAAGCAUGACUU
rnacentral:snRNA from 1 species